ACCAUCCUAAACUGCUGCCUUCAGUUUUAUCUGUGCUGGGACCAAGCUGACAUGGAGGAAAAGCCUUGAUAAUACCUCUCUGCAGCAGAAGAGUUCAGUGUGGGUUUGCUUAGAAACACCUUUGUAGAUGGUUGAAGCCUGUGGAAACAAGUUUUGCUGGCUUAUUUGACACCUGAUGAUGAAGUGGCAACACUUGCAGCACCCAGGAGGAACAAAUCAAGCUCAGAUGUUACCCACAGCCCUAAAUGAGAUUGUGGACUGAAACACAAGCAAAACGAGGGGGAGCUGUGGGGUAGUGGAGACUCAGCCUGCUCCCUUCAGCAGGAGGGAUGGGGAAGAAGAGGUGGCCCAGGGAGGAAGGAUGGUAUCAAGGCACUGUUUAUUUUUCCUGGCACAGAUGAACAACAAUAUA